GGGUGCGGUCCCCGCGCUGAAGCUCUGGAGCGAACCCGAACCCUCCUCUCAGGCCCGCCCCCUGCGGCCCGCAGCGGGCAGGUUGGCCUGGAUGCCGGCGACAGAGAGACUGGGGCGGCGCCCGGGGCCCCAGAGAGCCAAGACGGCGCUCACCGGAUAGAGGUAGAGCACGGCUCCCACCAACGCCAGCAAGAAGGUAACGGCGAAGAUCGCGAAGUCCAACAUGGUUCUGCCGCCCAGGGAGCCACGUCUCGGAUCGGCCGCUCCAGCAGCAGCGCCUCAGCCUGGCCCAAUUUAAGGCAUAGCGUGUGGGCGGGGGCACCCCGCGGGACCCGGAAACCAACGGGCCGCUGGGGGCGUGACCGAGGCCUGCGGCCGGCGCCAGAGGAAAGAGCAAUGGAUCGCCGAGGAGCCGGGGCGCGGGUUCCUGAGCGCAGCAGGCCGAGGCUGAGGCCGCCUAGCGCCAGCCUCCACCGCAAGGCGGGGAUUUCGGUGCACACGAUUUCAGACAGAAUAUGCCCGCGACUUCGGACCGGGUUGCUGGCGAAAGCAGAGCCCAGCUUUCUGAGAAAAGUUAGGAGUUAGUAGUGCUCUGUCCGCCCAACAGUUUUCGCAAUGGAUUCAGAAUUAAAACCUCUAAACCGAUGAUUUUCGAAGAGUGGUCCCGGUACCAGCUGCAUCAACGUCGCCCGGGAGCUCGUUAGAGAUUCAGAUUAUCGAUGCCGGGCGCGGUGGCUCCACCUGUAAUCCCAGCACCUUGGGAGGCUGAAGCGGGAGGAUCGCUUGAGCCCAGGAGUUUGAGACCAGCGUGGGCAACAUAGUGAGACCCCAGUCUCUACAAAAAAAAAAAAAAAAAAAAAAAAAAAAUUAGCCUACAGUGGUGGCGCUUGCCUGUGGCCCCAGCUGCUCCGGAGGCUGAGGCUGGAGGAUCACUUUAGCCGGGGAGGCAGAGGCUACAGUGAGCCGAGAUGGCACGACUGCACUCCAGCCUGGGCGACAGGGCGAGACCCUGUCUCAAAAACAAAACAAAACAAAACAAAAGGAAAACAAAAUAAAAAGAUUCUCGAUCCCAAA
rnacentral:lncRNA from 10 species